AUUGAACGCUGGCGGCAUGCUUUACACAUGCAAGUCGAACGGUAACAGGCCGCAAGGUGCUGACGAGUGGCGCACGGGUGAGUAAUGCAUCGGAACGUGCCCAGUCGGGGGGGAUAACUACUCGAAAGAGUAGCUAAUACCGCAUACGAUCUAUGGAUGAAAGCGGGGGACCGUAAGGCCUCGCGCGAUUGGAGCGGCCGAUGUCAGAUUAGAUAGUUGGUGGGGUAAAGGCUCACCAAGCCAACGAUCUGUAGCUGGUCUGAGAGGACGACCAGCCACACUGGGACUGAGACACGGCCCAGACUCCUACGGGAGGCAGCAGUGGGGAAUUUUGGACAAUGGGCGCAAGCCUGAUCCAGCAAUGCCGCGUGCAGGAAGAAGGCCUUCGGGUUGUAAACUGCUUUUGUACGGAACGAAACGGCUCUGGUUAAUACCCGGGGCUAAUGACGGUACCGUAAGAAUAAGCACCGGCUAACUACGUG
rnacentral:rRNA from 1 species